UACGGAGGAUGCGAGCGUUAUCCGGAUUUAUUGGGUUUAAAGGGUGCGUAGGCGGUCUGAUAAGUCAGUGGUGAAAGUUUUCAGCUUAACUGGAAAAAUGCCAUUGAUACUGUCAGGCUAGAAUAUGGUUGCUGUGAGUGGAAUGUGUGGUGUAGCGGUGAAAUGCUUAGAGAUCACACAGAAUAUCGAUUGCGAAGGCAGCUCACAAAGCCAUUAUUGACGCUGAGGCACGAAAGUGUGGGGAUCAAACAGG
rnacentral:rRNA from 1 species